CCUUUUCAAGCCCUUGUAACUUAUUUUCACGUCGAUUACAUUUGUUAACAGUGUUUGCUCCUUCUGGUGUGAAGAAGUCCUCAGAGAAACUAAGCACAUUCAAGUGCAGAUGAUUUCUCAGGAAGCAGUUCAGCAGGAUGAUGGGGUGGUAAAAGAAAGCAGAAAAAAAAGCAAAUUGGAUUAUCUGCUCAGUGAUCUGGACUACAGAUAUACUUCAGAGGCUUUUCUGCUUUGUUUGGUGAGACUUUACAAGGGAAGGUUUAUAUUCUGUAUCAUGUUGGUCUACUGAAAGCCUGAAAAAUGAUGGUUCCUCUGGAUCAUCACUUGCUUUCUGUCUGGGCAAGAGAAGGACUGAAGAUAGCAGUUUACACAAAGUGUCAAAGGGGUGUCAAAGAAGUGAAAAUCCUGCAUACAAAAUGGCUGUCAUGAACCUGAUUAAUACACGGAAAUAAAACUCAUUCAUCUGUUCAUCGUAAUAUUAUGGACCUGUCCCUUUUGGAGCAAGCAUUAGAUGCAUCUUCAAACCUCCAAAUCCUGGUGGGAAAAGGGAAAGCCAAAGUCCAACAGUGGAGAAAAAGGUAUUGGCUCUAUUGCUGUACUCUGGAUGGUGUUCCAAGAGGAAAAGAAAACAAACAGGAAACAAGCUCUGAUUUGAAGGAUGAUUCUAUGUUGCUGGAAAAGGUGCACAGCAAUAUAUUGAAUUUUCUUAAUAAAUUCUAAGGCCAACGUUCA